AUAAAUUAAAUUAAUUUCCCCAAGCGGAGUCCAUUUAGCCUGAGACAGUAACUGUCUCCUUCCCAGUUGGUGCCAUGAAGGGGGAUUUUGUAAGAUCUCUGUCCAGCUGCCUCUAAGAUCAGCCCUGAUCUACCUCUGUCCUGAAGAAAUGUCCCACUUUCCAUGACAGGACCCUUGCAGAACCUUCUUCUACAGAACAGCAGCAAAGGAGAAAGAACAUGGAUUAUAACUGCCCUGUCUGCUCAGAAAACAUCUGGAAACAAUCCUGAACAACCUUAGACAGAGGAAAAACAUACCAUCCCCUGGUGAAGGAGCAUGUGAUGCUUGGUCUCCCACAGCUUUGCGGCAUGUUGUUGGGCUUUCUGACAAGAGAUGAGCUCUGACUGAAGGUUUUACUGAAAAGGAGGCAUUAAUAAAAUUUGGAUAUCAGCACUGGUUUUCUCUUUUCUCCCAACAGCUGAAUUUGCAUGGUUUCUCCUCCCUUAAAGGGCCAAACAGUGCAUUCUGAGUUCCUUUAUUACCCUAUUUUAUAAAAGUUAUAUCCCGAAUAUUUUAUUCUCACUACAUCAGGUAACUGAAAAGAGAUUAUUAA